rnacentral:lncRNA from 10 species
ACGGGAUGGCAUCCAUUUGAUUUUCAUUAUUCUGGGACAAAGUUGCUUCCGCCUUCCUUUAAUUAGGAAGUCCUGCAAAGAAUAUCAUGAGUCGCUCUCAAUCCCAACCAGCUGGGUAUUUUAAACACCAAGCACAUUACUCUUCCUCUGGGACAGAUUUCUUUGUAGUCAAUUAGGACUGCCCAUUAAAGUGGCAGAAUAAGCACAGUGCCUGCUGCUAUGAUGUGAUGGGCCGUGGGAAACACUUUUCGCCUAAAAUCACCUCCUGCAAUGGCCUACUUAAGGCAUUUGAUUCACCUAUGUUAACAAAUUCAACCUUAGGAUUCCAAGACCACUUCCCAUCCUGCUGGGGUUUGGCUGGCUCAGAAAACUGGUGCACAGAUCUUCUUUGUUCCUCCAGCUGAACUCAAAUACAAACCUUCAUCCUGAUGAGAUAACGGGCAAUCUGUGUUUUGUCCCACUCCAUUGCUGUAUAUGCAAUCAAGGUACCCUCUCAGGACCCAGUGAUAAUAUUAAUUACAAUCUCUUAUUUAAAAGGAGUUCCUGCCUGAAGGUCUCUAUGCAAAGAUAAAGUUUCUCUGUUUUUGAGGCAGAGUCUCACUCUGUCACCAGGCUGGAGUGCAAUGGUGUGAUCUCUGCUCACUGCAACCUCUGCCUCCCGGGUUCAAGUGAUUCUCCUGCCUCAGCCUCCGGGGUAGCUGGGAUUACAGGCAUGCACCACCACGUCCAGCUAAUUUUUGUAUUUUUAGUAAAGCGGGGUUUCACCAUGUUGGCCGGGAUGGUCUUGAUCUCUUGACCUCGUGAUCUGCCCACCUCAGCCUUCCAAAGUGCUGGGAUUACAGGCAUGAGCCACCGGGCCCGGCCGAGAAGGUUUCUUUUUUUUUUUAAGAAGAAAGAGCCACUUCUGGUUAAGUCACAAAGCAAAGGGAAUGCUAGUCAUUCUUUUCUAUAGCAGGUCCAGCCAGGCAACAUGAGAUACACAGGCAUUAAGAACACAGGUACUGCCCUGAACUGGAGGGGAAUUUGUCAAAUCUAAUAUUUUCUGAAAAGUGUUCUCAGACCAUUCUGACCAUGAGUAACUUACUUCCUCCACCACUAAGCAUCUAGAAUAAACCUGUCAUGGCCACUCCUCUUGCCUUUCUUCAUCCUCUUAAGUUUUAUUAUAGUAGGUGAGAUUUGAGUAAAUAAGUUUUUGAAUUAAGUCACUUCUCUAUUGUUUUUAGUUAUGCAACUUCCAAC